rnacentral:lncRNA from 1 species
AGCUAUAUUUCAGCCAUACUGAUCAUACGGAUCAUUAGUAUAAGGAACCUGGCUAAAGCAGAAACUCUGCAGGGCAAUGGAAAGUCUAAGCCAUGUCCCAUCAAGACGGCUGUGCCAGCACUCAGAGCACCUGGUGAGGCAAAGCUUUCUCAGCCCAGGACCUCUUAGCUGCUUUCUUCCUCACCAGCAGGAGGUCAGAGCCCAGCACUCCUCAUUUGUCAGGCCAGGGCCUACCCU